rnacentral:rRNA from 1 species
AUUAGACAAUGGGCGCAAGCCUGAUCUAGCCAUGCCGCGUGAGUGACGAAGGCCCUAGGGUCGUAAAGCUCUUUCACCAGGGAUGAUAAUGACAGUACCUGGUAAAGAAACCCCGGCUAACUCCGUGCCAGCAGCCGCGGUAAUACGGAGGGGGCUAGCGUUGUUCGGAAUUACUGGGCGUAAAGCGCGCGUAGGCGGACUAUUAAGUCAGAGGUGAAAUCCCGGGGCUCAACCCCGGAACUGCCUUUGAUACUGGUAGUCUUGAGUUCGAGAGAGGUGAGUGGAAUUGCGAAUGUAGAGGUGAAAUUCGUAGAUAUUCGCAGGAACACCAGUGGCGAAGGCGGCUCACUGGCUCGAUACUGACGCUGAGGUGCGAAAGUGUGGGGAGCAAACAGGAUUAGAUACCCUGGUAGUCCACACCGUAAACGAUGAAUGCCAGUCGUCGGAUAGCAUGCUAUUCGGUGACACACCUAACGGAUUAAGCAUUCCGCCUGGGGAGUACGGCCGCAAGGUUAAAACUCAAA